AAUUUGGUGACCGAAGACAGGUGAUAGAUUUUUAAUCUAUUUAUGGGUAAAGCCCUCAAUUGGU
rnacentral:tRNA from 1 species